rnacentral:rRNA from 1 species
AUUGAACGCUGGCGGCAUGCUUUACACAUGCAAGUCGAACGGUAACAGGCCGCAAGGUGCUGACGAGUGGCGAACGGGUGAGUAAUGCAUCGGAACGUGCCCAGUCGUGGGGGAUAACUAUCCGAAAGGAUAGCUAAUACCGCAUACGAUCUGCGGAUGAAAGCGGGGGACCUUCGGGCCUCGCGCGAUUGGAGCGGCCGAUGUCAGAUUAGGUAGUUGGUGGGGUAAAGGCUCACCAAGCCAACGAUCUGUAGCUGGUCUGAGAGGACGCCCAGGCAGACUGGGAGUGAGACAAGGCACAGACUACAACGGGAGGCAGCAGUUGGGAAUUUUGGACAAUGGGCGCAAGCCUGAUCCAGCAAUGCCGCGUGCAGGAUGAAGGCCUUCGGGUUGUAAACUGCUUUUGUACGGAGCGAAAAGGCUCUCUCUAAUACAGGGGGCUCAUGACGGUACCGUAGAAUAAGCACCGGCUAACUACGUGCCAGCCGCCGCGGUAA